GCUGUUGCCCUGCUGCAGUUUGAUUGGCCGUUUGCCAAGCUGGUGUCCUCAGUGGCUCGUAGUUGGCCGCAGUUAGGAUUUUAGAAGAGGAAUGUGGUCUGUCACCAUGAAGGAUGUGGAUUAUUUUAUAUCAAACACUAGCCAGCUAAAGUCUUCCAUAAAAAAGGAAGACAUUAAACAUCUCGGUGCCCACCAACCGCGAAAUAUUGUUAUGAAAUAAACCUCUGCUAUCAAUAAUCAGAUAUAAGUUAGAGUGGUUCUCCAGGACAAAAUGGCUAAUGGUAACUGCUAGCUUGUCAGAGAAGACGUCGUUUCGCUUCCCGCCGUGUGUAACGUUAUUCAUCGGAGGGGAUGGUUCUCGGUCAAGGACAGGCUUUCAGGGCCUCAAGCGUCUUUCUGAAAGGAUUACGAAAACAUGAAAGCUGCAGGACAACAUCUAAAAUUGGGUUUAGCUAGCCCAGGUUGACAACGCAUACAAACGUGGAAUUGAGCAGCAAGCAAUGGAGAACAGGGGCCAGCUUCUUUUGUCCUUCUGAGGAAGAAGAAGUGAAUGAUUGACAGAACAAAUCACAGUGGGCCUUUGGGUGACGGGUGAACUUGGCAGCACGUUGUCAACAGUGCAUCGCUGUGUCAGGAUGUGUCGGCUGGUUGACUCACCAUGGCAACUGCUGAGUGACAGGUAGAGCAGGGCUUGCUCUGUGUCUUUGUUUUGCCUCAGGAUGAGUGGUUGAGCAAGAGGAAGAGGACAGUGGUGGAAGACUAGAGUCCUAUACUGGAGUACACAUUCAAGAUCAAAACUGUGAACAUGACAGACUGGGUUGCAUUCCUCUCAGGUGAUGACAGCGAUAAUCCACAGGCAGUCUUGAUUCAGCCGAGCAGAGAUGAUAAGGCUGGAGUGACCACUGACACACACUUACCUGAAACCCUCCCAUUCGCCUUCAGGCCCGUGUGGGGAAAAAUGUGGGUCAUGGUGAA